UAGUCGCUUGAAAGUUCGUUAUAGAGAUAGAAUAACAAUCCUAAGGGAAAUCAUGGAGAUCGUCAGAUAACUCAAGUGUAUGGAUUUUAUGAUGAAUGCUUGAGAAAAUAUGGAAAUGCUAAUGUCUGGAAGCAUUUCACCGACCUUUUUGAUUAUUUGCCACUUACAGCUCUAAUUGAGAGUCAGGUUUUCUGCUUGCAUGUGGCCUUGUAC